GGAAAAUAAAUAAGAAAAGAGGCGAGCAUGCGCAUAAAGGGUGAGACUCCGCGGGCUUAACAGUCAUUGGCUAGAGGAUCGGGGGGGGGCAUGACGUCAUGGUUUGCGGUUUCAGUCGGUUUCAGGCGUCCACACGAAUCCAAAACGAAACCGGAUAGAUUUGAAACCACCUCCGAGGGUGGUUUCAGAAGUUUGCGGUUUCGGUCAGCGGAUUCGCCGGCUUCGUGUGGACGGAAGGCCGAACCGUACAAGACCUUUGCGGUUUCGCCAUGAAAUCGGCUUCGUGUGGACGGGGCCUAGGGGCCGUGGACUGCGGUACCACUUUCCUGAAGAGGAACUCGCUGGCUCUAAAUCCCUGAUCAAAACGUUUCUUCACACGCAAGCACUCGUCACUUGAAUUUGUUGACAUGAACGAUAACGAGAAUCUGUCAGCCUGUGAGUCCAGGGUGACUAUGGAGAGGGACGAGACCUCCACCUCCUCAUCAAGGCCUUCUCGAGGGACAGACAAGGUUGGCGAAGAAAAUAUAAGGGUGCUGUAUAAGCGCAACCUGGAGUUGGAUAAUGUUAAAAUAAAAUUGCAGAUAAAAAAACUCAAGCUGGAGAUUCAGCUCCUCGAGAGGGUUUACGGCUAUUAUCUUUAAUACUUAGAUUUUCUUUGGUUAAGCUAGACUGACCCUCUGAAAUGUUUUCUUCUACUUUCACAGCAACUGCACAGCGAUGGAUAAUGAAUGAAUUCAAUAAAGAUGAACAAAUGUAUUUCCGUCCAUUGUAUUUUUUAUUGAACAAAAGUCCAACAAAGCUGCAACAUAUUAUAUUAUCCUUGGUUGUGUCUAAAGAGUACCACCUAGAACAGUUCUGCAUUGUCUACACUUGAGAUCAAUAUUUAGUUUUUCUUUUAUCAAACAUAUUGGUAGAUGUUAUUUUCUUUACCUUGACAUGUUUCGACAGAUGUACAUCCGUCUUCAUCAGAAGGUCACACGGGUGUAUUAGUGUGUCGCGUUCUGCAUCUGUUUGAGGUGGUUUGGUCCCAUACCAUGGAAGC
ensembl:lncRNA